UGUGUAACCUAAAAGAUGAGCGUGUUUUAAAGAGCAGGUAAAAAUAUUAAUGUUGCAUGAAGUCCCCGUGGUUUGUUCUUUUCUCCUUCACACUGAUAGUGUUAUAUGGCUCAUAUGUGAUAUUUUUUAGAGGUCAGUCAACAGGAACUGCGUCUGUUCGAGUAGAAAAACAAAAGUGAAAGUGUUUCACAGACAGGGAGCAGCCCCGUCUGGGAGGGAAACGUCAGAAACUUUACAAACAAUUUACGGAUCUAUUUCGUUAGAAGGAGUUAUUUACUCAGGCCGUUUAACUUCUGAAUCUCUACAAUGAAAUGGAGAAAAGGAGAUUAUGUCCUUCUAAGGGACAUGGAUGAAGAAAGACCAAGAGUGUCCUGGAGAAAGUUCUAUGUCCACCUGUCAGAAAAGACCAAUGACGCUCAUCUUCC